UACGGGGGGGGCAAGCGUUGUUCGGAAUUAUUGGGCGUAAAGCGCACGUAGGCGGCUUUGCAAGUCGGAUGUGAAAUCCCUCGGCUCAACCAAGGAAGUGCAUCCGAAACUGCAGAGCUUGAGUACCAAAGAGGAUCGCGGAAUUCCCGGUGUAGAGGUGAAAUUCGUAGAUAUCGGGAGGAACACCAGUGGCGAAGGCGGCGAUCUGGGUGGAUACUGACGCUGAGGUGCGAAAGCGUGGGGAGCAAACAGG
rnacentral:rRNA from 1 species